UAAAGGUUCUCAACACAAACCUAGACAAAAAAAAGAAAAUGGACGAUAUCUAACGAUAAAGAAUGUGGAGGAAGAUCCCGUAGAUACAUUCAGAUCCAAAGGAAAACCCGGAGAAAAAAAACUUAGAGAAUUGAAACAUCUUAGUACCUAAGGAUAAAAAUCAACCGAGUAUUUGUUAGUAGUGGCGAAUGAAAGCAAAACAAAAAGGCCUACGGUUUACUUAAUCUUUUAGAAUAAAACUUACCACAGAGCGUUUUAGUCGCGUAUUUUAAAAAAGAGUAGACCUAAAAAGUAAGGCGGUGAAACAUCUGUCCGAAAAAAGGGGGACCGCCCUCUAAGCCUUAAUUAAUUUUUUUUGAUCGAUAGCGAACAAAGUACCGUGAGGGAAAGGUAAAAAGCCUGGUAAGGUUUUUAAUAACACAAAUUGAGAAUUGACAAACAGUAGAUCAAUUAAAUAGUUAAAAGAUCUGCGUACUUUUUGCAUAACGGAUCAGCGAGUUAGUUUCUAAAACAGGCUUAAACAAUAAUGUGAAAGCGAAAAGAAAUUGAAAAGGUUUUAGGAAAAAGACCCGAACCUAAGUGAUCUAAGUAUGAGCAGGUUGAAGCUUCAUGAAAGUGAAGUGAAGGACCGAACCCACUAGCGUUGCAAUGCUAGGGGAAGACUUGUGCUUAGGGGUGAAAGGCCAAACAAACUUAGAUCUAGCUGGUUCUCUCCGAAAUCUAUUGAGGUAGAGCACUUUUUAUAUAUAUCUUAUGGGGUAGAGCACUUCAUGGGUGUGGGGGGCGUAAAGCUUUACCAUUUCCAAGAAAACUCCGAAUACGUAUAGAUAGAAAAAGCAGACAGGCUUUGGGCGCAAAGGUGCAGAGCCAAAAGGGAAAAAGCCCAGAUUCUCAGUUAAGGUCUUAAAUCUCUUUCUAAGUGUGAAAGGAGCAACACGAGUGAAAUCAAUUUCGAGGUGGGCUUAGAGGCAGCCAAUCCGCAGAGGAAAGCGUAACAGCUCAUUGAUUUAACCGUGGUUGACCAAAAAUGUAACGAGUCUCAAGAAAGAAACCGAAACUAGAAAAAUAAAAAUUUGGUAGGAGAGCGUUGUGUGUGUCGUAGGGUUAUACCCAUCGUAAGAUCAUUUUUUAAAAUAGAUCGGAGACCUCACAAGUGACUAUGCUGAUAUUAGUAACGUAAAAUCAUGUGAAAAACAUGAUCACCGAAACUUCAAGGUUUUCUGUGAAAAGUAAAUCUGCACAGAGUUAAACGGCCCCUAAGAGAACCCCGAAAGGGCUCCUCGAUGGGAAAGUCUUUUGACAGAUUCAUAAGACACUUUCUAUUUUUUCGUUGGAGAAAAAAAUAAAGAAAUCAAGUGAACAGGAAAAAUCAAAAGAAUAUAACCGUACUGUAAACCGCCACUGGUGAAGGAGUAGAAAUCUACUAAGGUGAUCGAAAGAACCAUUUUUAAGGAACUCGGCAAAAUGACCCCGUAACUUAGGGAGAAGGGGGACCUCUAUAAUAAAGAGACUGUUUUCUUUUGAAAAUAUUAUUAUGAGGUGGCACGAAAUCGGGGGUAGCAACUGUUUAACAAAAACACAAGACUUUGCGAAGUUGUAAAACGCUGUAUAAGGUCUGACACCUGCCCGGUGCUGCAAACUUAAAGGGAAAGGUGAAGUAUAUGAUAGUUUUCUAUCGUGUAUGGAGCUUCGAACUGAUUGUUCAGUAAACGGCGGUCGUAACUCUAACGAUCCUAAGGUAGCGAAAUUCCUUGUCCACUAAUUAUGGACCUGCAUGAAUGGUGUAAUGACUGCCCCGCUGUCUCAAAAAUGGAUUCGGUGAAAUUGAAUUCUCCGUGAAGAUGCGGAGUGUAAGCGCCUAGACGGGAAGACCCUGUGCUUCUUUACUAUAACCUUUUAUUGAAACCUGGUUUAUCUUGUGUAGAAUAAGUGGGAGUUCCCUUUUGGGGACACUAGUGAAAUACCACUCUUGAUUAACUGGGACUCUAACCUUUUUUAAGGGACAUUGAAUGGUGGGUAGUUUGACUGGGGUGGUCGCCUCCCAAAGUGUAACGGAGGUGUACGAAGGUAGGUUCGAAUGGAUUGGAAACCCAUUCUUGAGUAUAACGGUAUAAACUUGCUUGACUGUGAGAUAGACAUAUCUAGCAGGGACGAAAGUCGGUCGUAGUGAUCCGGGAGUUCUUCGUGGAAAGGCUCUCGCUCAACGAAUCAAAGAAACGCCAGGGAUAACAGGCUAAUAACUCCCAAGAGUUCUUAUCGACGGAGUUGUUUGGCACCUCGAUGUUGAUUCAUUGCGUCCUGGAGGUGAAGACGCUUCCAAGGGUUCGGCUGUUCGCCGAUUAAAGCAGUACGUGAGUUGAGUUCAGAACGUUGUGAAACAGUUCGGUUCCUAUCUAGCGCUUAUUUUGAAAAAUUAAAAGGAUUUCUCUCUAGUACGAGAGGAUCGAGAUUAAGUGGACCUAUGGUUUAUCGGUUGUAUUGCCUAAUGCAUCGCCGACUCGCUACGUCUGUACAGACAACCGCUGAGAGCAUCUAAGCGGGAAGCUGUCCUUAAAACUUAUUUUUAGUUACGUAAAAGAUUAUUACGUUGAUAGGCAAAUUCUCUUUCUUUAGUAAUAAAGAACUUUUUUUGUACUAA
rnacentral:rRNA from 1 species